UGUAUUGCUCUAUGAUGAAAUUGGUGUUCUUUGGCCGUUUUUGGUGUUCUCUGUUGUGAACUGCCUGAGUUUAUGUUAUGUGAAGCCACCUCUUUUAAGGUUUGGAGGCUUUGUGUCCUUACCCUGUGAUGAAGCUUUUCUAAGGGUCAGCUUGUCAGAAUGGUGAUAGCCUUUAAUCUUGCCUUCCAUGUUUGCAAGUUCUCCCCUUUGCAUCUGCUCUUUUGCUGCCUUCCAUAACCUGUAGACUGUCUUUUCCUCCUGAUGCUGAAGCUGCCACUUUUAUGAGCACUCCAUCAAUGUUGUGCUUUAGUAGGAACUGCACCACCAAGUUUUUCAUGCUACUGCUUAAGUAUAGACUUUGUCUUAGCCCUCCUCCAUCCCAAUGAUGAAGCUUUUCUGAGGGAAAUGGUAAUCACAAAUGCUUCUUUUUUUUGGUUUUUUGGGAGGUUGGUGGAAGUUGUACUAAAUGCACCAUGUAAAUGUAUUUAUAGGGGCUUCAAAUUCUGAAAAUUUAGGGUGAUUUUAAGUUCAAAUUUCGCUCUAAAAUGUUUAAGAGGCAAACUUAAAUUUUUGGUAAUGCUCCUUGUACUUUGAAUAUCUUUUCGGCGCUUAUAUGAAGUGGAAGGCAGUUUUUGUGUUUAA